CGCCUUCCAGGCCGCCCCCGGGGCCACGCCUCCCCCGGCGGCUGCAGAUUUGUCCUGCUUCGCGCCUCCUUGCUUUGGCCGCACCUCCGCCUUUGGCCCCGCCCAUUCCUCCAGUCUAACCAAUGAGACGUCUCGCCCCGUCAUACGGCCCCCUAGCAACGAUUGGCUAACAAGGCCUUGUUUCCAGAAAUGGGCACUAUUUCCGGACAGUGUUUAUAGAGCCGAGAUUGCCAGGCGGACAGAUUGACAGAAGGCGGAGGCGGCCGGGGUGUUGGUGCAACCGCACAUGCGCGCUGGGCUUCUGGCAGUCUUUUUACGGGUUGCGUGCUUCUGGACGUUACGGGUCGGAAGGGCGAGUGUGCGCAUGCGUGGGCCCCCUAGGCCUCGGACUAAGGUUACCUUGGAGACGACGAGGCGCUCAUGCUCCUGGGUCUGGUUCUGCUUCCUCUUUGCAAUUAGCCUCGGCGUGGUGGUUGGGCGGGGGAGCGGGGAGGAGUAGAAACACUUUUAUUGAGCACUUACUGUGUGCCCCGCGCUGUAGACUCCCUGAGGACGAGUAAGACAGGUUCUGAUGCCUUACCUUGAGAAGAUUGGGGAGCCUAGGCCCUUCAAGGGUCAGAUCCAGGCCUGGAUCUGGAUCCAGGACGUGUUGAAAUCCAGGCCUGAGGAGAGCUUGCUGAUGGAGUGGUGCAACCCCUUUCUACAGCCAGGGAGCAGCGUGGUGAGAGCGCUGCGCGAAGCAUCUCCUCGCUGGGUUUACAGGUUACAGAGCCAGAGAGAAGACUGGAACGUUACCUGUGCAGGAAAAGGACCUGGAAUCUGAAUAUGCUCCAAGAUCCUGGACCCUGAUCAUCUUCCACCAAUUCCCACCACAGGGGAGAUGGACGGGGGCAUGGCGAACCAUAGACCUAUUGGAGAAGAGGAGGAGCCACGGUGACAUGGGGGGAAAACUCCUGAUUUGUCGCAUUCGCCAAUUCCCGUGGUGAAAAGACUUCUACUGUGGCCAGUUUGAAGACCCCAGCCUACCAUCACUGAACGUCAAAUGGGAAAACAUUUGCAGAGGCGCUCUCUCAAGCCAGGCAAGCUGACUUGGGCACACUGCUGGAACAUUUAUCAAUAUUUAAGGUGUUUGAAGUGAAAACUGAGGAAAUUUCAAAAUAUGCAUUUGUUAAAAAUACUAAUAACAAACCCAUUACAUGUCAAUACAGAUAACAUUCUUCGUGCAAAAACGGUUAUUUUCGGGGCGCCUGGGUGGCGCAGUUGGUUAAGCGUCCGACUUCAGCCAGGUCACGAUCUUGCGGUCCGUGAGUUCGAGCCCCGCAUCAGGCUCUGGGC